AACGAACGCUGGCGGCAUGCCUAACACAUGCAAGUCGAACGAGACCUUCGGGUCUAGUGGCGCACGGGUGCGUAACGCGUGGGAACCUGCCCUUAGGUUCGGAAUAACUCCCCGAAAGGGGUGCUAAUACCGGAUAAUGUCUUCGGACCAAAGAUUUAUCGCCUUUGGAUGGGCCCGCGUUGGAUUAGCUAGUUGGUAGGGUAAAAGCCUACCAAGGCGACGAUCCAUAGCUGGUCUGAGAGGAUGAUCAGCCACACUGGGACUGAGACCCGGCCCAGACUCCUACGGGAGGCAGCAGUGGGGAAUAUUGGACACUGGGCGAAAGCCUGAUCCAGCAAUGCCGCGUGAGUGAUGAAGGCCUUAGGGUUGUAAAGCUCUUUUACCCGGGAUGAUAAUGACAGUACCGGGAGAAUAAGCUCCGGCUAACUCCGUG
rnacentral:rRNA from 1 species